rnacentral:misc_RNA from 1 species
UAUCCGUAGGUGAACCUGCGGAAGGAUCAUUCGUAAUAAGUGUUUUAUAGCACUUUUUUUAAUCCACCCCAACCUCGUGUGCAAUGCCAGGGAUGAUUUUUCUCUCGAGAGGAACUGACACAAACAUCAACUAUAUCUCAACUCUUUUUCUAAAAAAUAUUAUGAAUAAAACAUUUCACAAUACAACUUUCAACAACGGAUCUCUUGGCUCUC